rnacentral:rRNA from 1 species
CCUACGGGUGGCAGCAGUGAGGAAUAUUGGUCAAUGGCCGGAAGGCUGAACCAGCCAAGUCGCGUGAGGGACGACUGCCCUAUGGGUUGUAAACCUCUUUUAUAGGGGAAGAAUAAAUGCUACGUGUAGCAUGAUGCCUGUACCUUAUGAAUAAGCAUCGGCUAACUCCGUGCCAGCAGCCGCGGUAAUACGGAGGAUGCGAGCGUUAUCCGGAUUUAUUGGGUUUAAAGGGUGCGUAGGCGGUUUAUUAAGUUAGUGGUAAAACGGCGGGGCUUCACCUUGAAUUGCCAUUAAUACUGUUAGUCUCGAGUUCAGACGAGGUAGGCGGAAUAAGUGGAGUAGCGGUGAAAUGCUUAGAUAUCACGUAGAACUCCGAUUGCGAAGGCAGCUUACCAGACUGCGACUGACGCUGAGGCACGAAAGCGUGGGUAGCGAACAGGAUUAGAUACCCUGGUAGUC